rfam:Enterobacter aerogenes KCTC 2190, complete genome.
GACCGACAUCAGCGACUCGUUCUGCGAGCCGUUGCCGACGGCGAGAUAGGAGUUCAUCCCCAGCUCGCGCAUCUGCUGUUCGCCGAUCACGCGGGUGAUGACGUUCUUGCUGUAAGUGUCGGCCAACUGGCGCGCCUGGGAAGCAAGGUAAGCCGCGUUACAGAUAUUCGGCGGCAUAUUGCCGAGAUCUUUCGC